UACGUAGGGGGCUAGCGUUGUCCGGAAUCAUUGGGCGUAAAGAGCGUGUAGGCGGCCCGGUAAGUCCGCUGUAAAAGUCAAAGGCUCAACCUUUGAAUGUCAGUGGAUACUGCCGGGCUAGAGUCCGGAAGAGGCGAGUGGAACUCCUGGUGUAGCGGUGGAAUGCGCAGAUAUCAGGAGGAACACCGAUAGCGAAGGCAGCUCGCUGGGACGGUACUGACGCUGAGGCGCGAAAGCGUGGGGAGCGAACAGG
rnacentral:rRNA from 1 species